CAUACAUUGCAUAAGCCUGCCACAACGUCAAUGUACCCCAUCUUUGGCAGGUCCUACACUAACAGCCUGAUGUCUGCUCUUAUGAGAUUAACCACUUACUUGAGGGAAAAAAUUCCAUCUGGGGCUCUCUGCAGUACAAGGCUAAAUAGGGCCCUGGGACGAGGCACCUGUGACAGGGAGGGGUGCAAAACCAGAGUAGCUGUUGACAUUAUAGUUGCGCAGGCACUUUCUUGACUCUAGAGAACCUCGGGCCAAUCGCACAUCACCGUGACGGCGACUUUGCAUUCGGAUGUCAUCCAUAUCAACUUUCAAUGCCAGUUUCUGCGCCUACCAUGGUGACCACAGGUAACGGGGAAUCAGGGUUGGAUUACGGAGAGGGAAACUGAGAAACAGCUACCACAUGCAAGAAAGGCAGCAGACGCGCAAAUGACCCACUCCCAAUGCGGGAAGGUAGUGACGUCAUAUAACAAUACAGGACUCUUUAGAGGCACUGUAAUUGGUCCACUUGAAAUCCUUUAACUCUGAUCAAUUGGAGGGCAAAUCUGGUGCAGAGUGACUGACCCGUGCGUGCUGCAGCUGAAACUCCACU